CAGUAGCCGCGGUAAUACGAAGGGUGUAAGCGUUACUCGGAAUUACUGGGCGUAAAGCGUGCGUAGGUGGUGGUUUAAGUCCGUUGUGAAGGCCCUGGGCUCAACCUGGGAAUUGCAGUGGAUACUGGAUCACUAGAGUGUGGUAGAGGAUAGUGGAAUUUCCGGUGUAGCAGUGAAAUGCGUAGAGAUCGGAAGGAACAUCUGUGGCGAAGGCGACUAUCUGGGCCAACACUGACACUGAGGCACGAAAGCGUGGGGAGCAAACAGGAUUAGAUACCCGAGUAGUCCCUGUCUCUUAUAC
rnacentral:rRNA from 1 species